rnacentral:rRNA from 1 species
GACGAACGCUGGCGGCGUGCUUAACACAUGCAAGUCGAACGGAAAGGCCCUUCGGGGUGCUCGAGUGGCGAACGGGUGAGUAACACGUGGGUGAUCUGCCCUGCACUUUGGGAUAAGCCUGGGAAACUGGGUCUAAUACCGAAUAUGAUCAUCGGCUUCAUGGUCGGUGGUGGAAAGCUUUUGCGGUGUGGGAUGGGCCCGCGGCCUAUCAGCUUGUUGGUGGGGUAAUGGCCUACCAAGGCGACGACGGGUAGCCGGCCUGAGAGGGUGACCGGCCACACUGGGACUGAGAUACGGCCCAGACUCCUACGGGAGGCAGCAGUGGGGAAUAUUGCACAAUGGGCGCAAGCCUGAUGCAGCGACGCCGCGUGAGGGAUGACGGCCUUCGGGUUGUAAACCUCUUUCAGCACAGACGAAGCGCAAGUGACGGUAUGUGCAGAAGAAGGACCGGCCAACUACGUGCCAGCAGCCGCCGCCG